rnacentral:rRNA from 1 species
GUCUAUGGCCAUGCCACCCUGAACAAGCCCAAUGUCUGAUCUCGGAAGCUAAGCAAGGUCGGGCCUGGUUAGUACUUGGAUGGGAAACCACCUAGGAAGACCAGGU